AUUGAACGCUGGCGGCAGGCCUAACACAUGCAAGUCGAACGAGUGGCGGACGGGUGAGUAAUGUCUGGGAAACUGCCUGAUGGAGGGGGAUAACUACUGGAAACGGUAGCUAAUACCGCAUACCAUCGGAUGUGCCCAGAUGGGAUUAGCUAGUAGGUGGGGUAAAGGCUCACCUAGGCGACGACCCCUAGCUGGUCUGAGAGGAUGACCAGCCACCGUGGAACUGAGACACGGUCCAGACUCCCACGGGUGGGCGCACGGGGGAACACUGCACAAUGGGCGCGACACUGAUGCGGCCAGGCCGCGUGUAUGAAGAAUGCCUUCGGGUUGUAAAGGACUUUCAGCGGGGAGGCGUUACCCGCAGAAGAAGCAACGGCUAACUCCGUGCCAGCAGCCGCGGUAAUUC
rnacentral:rRNA from 1 species